CGGGUGAGUAACGCGUGAGGAACCUGCCUCAAAGAGGGGGACAACAGUUGGAAACGACUGCUAAUACCGCAUAAGCCCACGGUGCCGCAUGGCACAGAGGGAAAAGGAGCAAUCCGCUUUGAGAUGGCCCCGCGCCCGAUUAGCUAGUUGGUGAGGUAACGGCCCACCAAGGCGACGAUCGGUAGCCGGACUGAGAGGUUGAACGGCCACAUUGGGACUGAGACACGGCCCAG
rnacentral:rRNA from 1 species